rnacentral:rRNA from 1 species
UACGGGGGGGGCAAGCGUUGUUCGGAAUUACUGGGCGUAAAGGGCUCGUAGGCGGCCAACUAAGUCAGACGUGAAAUCCCUCGGCUUAACCGGGGAACUGCGUCUGAUACUGGUUGACUUGAAUCCGGGAGAGGGAUGUGGAAUUCCAGGUGUAGCGGUGAAAUGCGUAGAUAUCUGGAGGAACACCGGUGGCGAAGGCGGCAUCCUGGACCGGUAUUGACGCUGAGGAGCGAAAGCCAGGGGAGCAAACGGG